AAUAACGAAUGGACGGCGAAUGGUUCAAAAUAUUCUAGUUCCAGGGUAUGGACUUCGGCAUAUUUUGCACCAUUCACUGUCUUUUCGUUGUU
rnacentral:pre_miRNA from 1 species